UAAGGGUGCUUCCAAUUCAAUAGAGCCAUCAACCUCAGCAGAGCUCAGGAUUUACAUUCACAAUAAAAGGUGAAACAGACAGUCAUAAAGCAAGGCUUAUCAGUGCCCAGCAUCUGGCAGCAGAGAGCUUGUGCUAGCUGCAGUGAGUCUCUUUAUUCUGCCUCCCGCUGUCUGUAAACUGCUCUUCACGUUUCCAGAUCCACAGGUGCUGCGGGGGACGAGCUGAGCCCCUUCUCUUUAAACACAUAUGUUCCUGCAGAAUAUUUAGAGGAAUACAGGGCGAGUCAGCAUCUCCAAAGUGAUGAUCUCUCUGAUGGCAAAAACAACACUCAACAUCAGAUGGUCUCAGAUCUUCCAGAGAGAGAAGAUGGAGAAGGACAGGAGAGUGAACGACAAACAGCAGCUUCCAACUGCUGGAAUCUACCACGGAG